rnacentral:rRNA from 1 species
UCGUGGAGUGAUUUGUCUGGUUGAUUCCGAUAACGAACGAGACCUUAGCUUACUAAAUAGCUACACCAACCCUUGUGGUUGUGUGGCCAGCUUCUUAGGAGGACUAUCCCGGUUAACGGGGUGGAAGUUUGAGGCAAAAACA